GAGAGAGAGAGAGAGAGAGAGAGAGAAACAGAGAGCGAGAGAGAAACAGAGAGAGAGAGAGAGAGAAAGAGAGAGAGAAACAGAGAGAGAGAGAGAAACAGAGAGAGAGAGCGAGAGUUUACAUUUUUAAUCCCAGGCCCCGUCCCUGCAGGAGGCCUCUUGGUAGGAGGCCUUUUGCCUCUUGGAAGGCCGUCAUUGUAAAUAAGAAUUUGUUCUUAACCGACUUGCUUUGGUAAAUUAAAGGCUAAAUCAAAUCCAAAAUAUGUCAUAGUGUUUGGCAGUGACAAGAAGUGGAAUGAUAGCAAGGUGUGGAAUGUGGUCCGUUGUAGCUCUGUUGGUAGAGCCUGGUGCUUGUAACGCCAGGGUAGUGGGCUCAAUUCCCGGGACCACCCAUAUGGAAGAUGUAUCUAAGGUACUUUGGAGAUGAAAGUGAUGGCUAAAUAGCAGAUAUUAUUAAUAAUAAUAAUGUAUUUAUUUAUAGCAUAAUCACUUGCUGUGAUAUUAGUAAUAUGUUUGAAUUCACAUCAUUUUUAGGGAUCCGUCUUCAACAGGACUAAAUGACAUGUCUGUAGGGGUCAGUCCAGGGGUCAACAGGACUAAAUGACACGUCUGUAGGGGUCAACAGGACUAAAUGACAUGUCUGUAGGGGUCAGUCCAGGGGUCAACAGGACUAAAUGACACGUCUGUAGGGGUCAGUCCAGGCUUCAACAGGACUAAAUGACAUGUCUGUAGGGGUCAGGCCAGGGGUCAACAGGACUAAAUGACAUGUCUGUAGGGGUCAGUCCAGGGGUCAACAGGACUAAAUGACACGUCUGUAGGGGUCAGUCCAGGCUUCAACAGGACUAAAUGACAUGUCUGUAGGGGUCAGUCCAGGGGUCAACAGGACUAAAUGACACGUCUGUAGGGGUCAACAGGACUAAAUGACAUGUCUGUAGGGGUCAGUCCAGGGGUCAACAGGACUAAAUGACACGUCUGUAGGGGUCAGUCCAGGCUUCAACAGGACUAAAUGACAUGUCUGUAGGGGUCAGUCCAGGGGUCAACAGGACUAAAUGACACGUCUGUAGGGGUCAACAGGACUAAAUGACACGUCUGUAGGGGUCAGUCCAGGCUUCAACAGGACUAAAUGACAUGUCUGUAGGGGUCAGUCCAGGCUUCAACAGGACUAAAUGACAUGUCUGUAGGGGUCAGUCCAGGGGUCAACAGGACUAAAUGACACGUCUGUAGGGGUCAGUCCAGGCUUCAACAGGACUAAAUGACAUGUCUGUAGGGGUCAGUCCAGGGGUCAACAGGACUAAAUGACACGUCUGUAGGGGUCAACAGGACUAAAUGACAUGUCUGUAGGGGUCAGUCCAGGGGUCAACAGGACUAAAUGACAUGUCUGUAGGGGUCAGUCCAGGGGUCAACAGGACUAAAUGACAUGUCUGUAGGGGUCAGUCCAGGGGUCAACAGGACUAAAUGACAUGUCUGUAGGGGUCAGUCCAGGCUUCAACAGGACUAAAUGACAUGUCUGUAGGGGUCAGUCCAGGGGUCAACAGGACUAAAUGACACGUCUGUAGGGGUCAACAGGACUAAAUGACAUGUCUGUAGGGGUCAGUCCAGGCUUCAACAGGACUAAAUGACAUGUCUGUAGGGGUCAGUCCAGGCUUCAACAGGACUAAAUGACAUGUCUGUAGGGGUCAGUCCAGGGGUCAACAGGACUAAAUGACAUGUCUGUAGGGGUCAGUCCAGGGGUCAACAGGACUAAAUGACAUGUCUGUAGGGGUCAGUCCAGGGGUCAACAGGACUAAAUGACAUGUCUGUAGGGGUCAGUCCAGGCUUCAACAGGACUAAAUGACAUGUCUGUAGGGGUCAGUCCAGGGGUCAACAGGACUAAAUGACACGUCUGUAGGGGUCAACAGGACUAAAUGACAUGUCUGUAGGGGUCAGUCCAGGCUUCAACAGGACUAAAUGACAUGUCUGUAGGGGUCAGUCCAGGCUUCAACAGGACUAAAUGACAUGUCUGUAGGGGUCAGUCCAGGGGUCAACAGGACUAAAUUACAUGUCUGUAGGGGUCAGUCCAGGGGUCAACAGGACUAAAUGACAUGUCUGUAGGGGUCAGUCCAGGGGUCAACAGGACUAAAUGACACGUCUGUAGGGGUCAGUCCAGGGGUCAACAGGACUAAAUGACAUGUCUGUAGGGGUCAGUCCAGGGGUCAACAUGACUAACAUUUUCAACAGAUCGGGAAAUAACGUAUUUUUUAAAACAAAUUUGUCAAAAUCAUCACAUUGAGAUGAAAUUGAUUUACAUUUUUUGUUAACAAAGAACAUAAGAAGCAACUGAUGGCGUGAGAACCUUGAGGCACUGAACAUCACCAAGCUGAGAGACUGCUUUUCAAUGUGCUCAGUCAAGCCGGUUCACUGCUCCAUUGGCUAAGAAGAGACGACGGCACCAUCUGGUGGCAGAGACGAGCACUACAAGGGAGGCUGAGGAAC